AGAGUUUGAUCAUGGCUCAGGACGAACGCUGGCGGCGUGCUUAACACAUGCAAGUCGAACGGAAAGGCCCCUUUGGGGGUGCUCGAGUGGCGAACGGGUGAGUAACACGUGGGUGAUCUGCUGCACUUCGGGAUAAGCUUGGGAAACUGGGUCUAAUACCGGAUAGGACCAUGGGAUGCAUGUUCUGUGGUGGAAAGAUU
rnacentral:rRNA from 1 species